CACGUAGGGCGCGAGCGUUGUCCGGAAUUACUGGGCGUAAAGCGUGCGCAGGCGGUUUGGUAAGUCCGUUGUGAAAGCCCCGAGCUCAACUUGGGAAUUGCAGUGGAUACUGGCAGGCUGGAGUACGGUAGAGGAAGGUGGAAUUCCCGGUGUAGCAGUGAAAUGCGUAGAUAUCGGGAGGAACACCAGUGGCGAAGGCGGCCUUCUGGACCAGUACUGACGCUCAUGCACGAAAGCGUGGGGAGCAAACAGG
rnacentral:rRNA from 1 species